rnacentral:rRNA from 2 species
AGUCGAACGGAGAUGUUAUGUGAGCGGAGUUAGCUUGCUAAUGACAAUCUUUUAACAUCUUAGUGGCGGACGGGUGAGUAACGCGUGGGUAACCUGCCUCAUACAGGGGAAUAACACUUAGAAAUAGGUGCUAAAGCCGCAUAAGCGCACAGCUUCGCAUGAAGCAGUGUGAAAAACUCCGGUGGUAUGAGAUGGACCCGCGUCUGAUUAGCUAGUUGGUGAGGUAACGGCCCACCAAGGCGACGAUCAGUAGCCGGCCUGAGAGGGUGAACGGCCACAUUGGGACUGAGACACGGCCCAAACUCCUACGGGAGGCAGCAGUGGGGAAUAUUGCACAAUGGGGGAAACCCUGAUGCAGCGACGCCGCGUGAGUGAAGAAGUAUUUCGGUAUGUAAAGCUCUAUCAGCAGGGAAGAAAAUGACGGUACCUGAGUAAGAAGCCCCGGCUAACUACGUGCCAGCAGCCGCGGUAAUACGUAGGGGGCAAGCGUUAUCCGGAUUUACUGGGUGUAAAGGGAGCGUAGACGGCAGGGCAAGUCUGAAGUGAAAGGCGGGGGCUCAACCCCCGGACUGCUUUGGAAACUGUCCGGCUGGAGUGCAGGAGAGGUAAGUGGAAUUCCUAGUGUAGCGGUGAAAUGCGUAGAUAUUAGGAGGAACACCAGUGGCGAAGGCGGCUUACUGGACUGUAACUGACGUUGAGGCUCGAAAGCGUGGGGAGCAAACAGGAUUAGAUACCCUGGUAGUCCACGCCGUAAACGAUGAUCACUAGGUGUCGGGGGUUCAUAAACCUUCGGUGCCGCAGCCAACGCAAUAAGUGAUCCACCUGG